UUUGUCAGAACUCUCCACUAUGACCCGUCCUAGUGGUCAUAGGACGGCCCUGCACAGCAUGGCUCAUAGCUUCAUUGAGUUAUGCAAGCCCCUUCACCACGACAAGGCUGUGAUCCAUGAAGGGGAAUUUGCUGCUAGUAACUAGUUAGUUCUGAAAGGAUUUGGGUUCCUGCUGUGCAGUUUUUAAAAUGAUGAUCCAAGCGCAGGAUGGAGAGCAGAAGAGAUUGCCUUUGUUAUUAAGUGCUGCUUCUUCAUAAUGAAUAGCUUUUUAAAUAUUCUUAGUUUUGGGGAGGAAGGGAUGCUCAGAAUUGAGGAUUCUCUGUAAGAUCUUCAGUGAGACAUAAGAUGGUGACUGUCCAGCUUCCCCAGGGUGUGGUCACUCUUUGAUGUUGACAAAAUUUGGUGCUGCUCCUUAGGGAACUAUGGCUGGUGCCAAGUUGCCACAGCCUCUGGGCUCCCAUAGCCACUCCUCCUCAUCUGGUGAACCAGCUCUGGGGAAGCCAGCAUUCAUGCUUUGGUUUCUUUGCCUUUAAAAAAGAAAAAAUAAUUUUAAUAUGCCCUGGGACCACUUUGAGGUUUUCAGGAAUUUUCUUGGGGGGAUAGCCCCACAGUUUAGGAGAACUGUCCAAGGCCUGGGCUCAUAACAGGAAUAAAGCCCCUUUUCCCUUGUCAUUACUGCUUUCCUCUUCACUGACUAAUUAGCCAGCUGCUGCAGGUCUCAUUAAACUUCAUUAAUCCUGAGCAUUUGUCUAUUGGAACUGCCUCAAGAUAAAAAGGGAAAACUCAGCUAAACACUUUUGUUGCUCCUGCUAAUUACCCCGAGCUAUAUAUUUUUAUUAAUUAAUUGCUCUACUUACUUUCAAAUCUGAAUGAAGACCUUUCCCCAUGCCAGACAUCAGGCGUUUCUCUCUGCCCUGGCUGAGGAGGCACUGCUCUGUGGUUUGGUAUGUGGAGUGCCUGUAGUUAUCAGGGCCAAAAAUAGGAUGGCUCUGGAAACCAAGCUAAAAGGAAAACACACCUGGAGUCUGGCUGUGUAUAACCUAGGCCUGUUCAAAGCUUUGGGUUGAUAUUGAUGCCUUUAAAAAAAAAAAAAGAACAACAGGUACAAUGUUAAAUGAUCUCAUCUCUCUGAAAAAAUACAUGAUGGCAAAACAAUCACAAAGCUAUUUUCUUGACUCAGUGGUUCCAGAAUCUAAAAAAAUACUUUAAAUGGGGUUUGGGAUAGGAGAGAAUCAUAAGACAUUUCUGUGUUGCAGCUAAAGGUGAUGGCAGAAAGAAAGGUGUUGAUCUUGGGUUUGGAUUGGUGGUGACUGAGGGCACGGUGAAUUACACCCCUCCCCAGUGGGAGGCAGGGGAGAAGAGCACCUGCCUUGAUGUACCUUGAAGAGACCCUGGUGAAAGGGGAAGAACAGCUGAAAACAUGGAGGGCUUUCUGAUGAGGACCUCUGCCAUCAUUGAAUUAUAAGUAAAAGUUUUGGUUUUGGAAUUGUCAGGAAUUAAGGUGGAUGGAACUAAGGGAAUUAGUUCUACGUGGUCCCUGUAGGUCGGGAAUAAAGUAAUUCAUCAUUGAGACUUGAGCCUAAUUUCAUAGUAAUUGUGCUGGUAAGGUCUUUGCUGAUGUACAAUUCUGUUUGGAGUAGUGAGGGCUGUGGCACCAGUCCUUGGGUCUGGCUUCUGGAACUGUGCUUGCUUUGUGACUGUGGGCAAGCCACUGAACCUUUCGGAGCCUUAUAGUUUACUCUUAGGCAAAAUAUGUUUGAUGAUAAGAGUACCUGCUGCACAGUGUGGUUGUGAGAAUUAAAUAAGUUUGGGUGAAGUGCUCAGAAGGGUGUUGUGUGGCCCUUCUGGUAAGUGCUCCAUAAACUCGUAAGUAUGGGGGUGGACAUGGGAGAUUCCCAAUUGUUCAGGGUCACGUCCGUGGAACUUCCCACUUGCGUGGCUGGAGUGCUGGUAGAUCAACCCCAGCUGGUGGGCUCUGAUCCUCCCCUUGCUGCUGAUUUGUGAUGUCAUCUUGAGUCAAAUCUCAACUGUGAAGCUUUGACCCCUUGACUCGUGUCUGAUCGGUUAAUCUCUCUCCCGUGCGUUGCUUGUUCCUCAUUGCCGCGCAGUAUAAUUACCUGUCAUUGAGGCUGGUAUGUCAUUAAACAGUAGACUGCACAAUAUCUCUCUUUGUUUCCCAUUGCUCAGUACAGCAGUUUGCAAAUACCUUUUAAAAAUAGAAUUUGUUUUUCCCAUAAAUCUGAAGUGGAACUCCGGUAAUGGAAUGUUUCUGACCAAAGCACAGGUGAGAAAGUGUACUUGGAGCAUGCCCUUGGGGAUCCUGAUUUGAAAACUAGUGUUUCUUCAGUGAUUCUCACUAAUUUUUGUGUUAUAAUAAUAUCCUCAGUUCCCUAUUGAAAGGGAGUAUUAAUAUUUGUUUGCCUUAUUGUGCUUAUAAGUGUUGUAUAAGGUUAAAUACUGAUUGAGUAGUCUCCAGAAGAAAGACAUGGAAAUUCAGGUUGGUGUUUUAUUUAUUUAGGAGUGCUCACUGAAGGCAGCAUUUCACAUUUGACCCUUUGUGGUGCCCAGGGAGAAUUUGUUUUUCUCUGGGGUAGGGGGCGGUAAGGGCUUCUCCGGUGGUAUAGCGGUGAAGAAUCUGCCUGCAAUUCAGGAGUUCAAUCCUUGGAUCAAGUUGGGAAGACCCCCUGGACAAGGAAAUGGCAACCCAUUCCAGAAUUCUUGCCUGGAGAACCCCAUGGACAGAGGAGCCUGGAGGGCUACAAUCCAUGGGAUCACAAAGAGUCUGACAUGAUGUAGCAAUUAAACAACAUGUUGGUUUUGCCCUCCA